AUGGAGAAUGUCCCAUUCACAAAAAGGUCUUUGCGCAGUCUUUGUGGUAGAAUUAACCGAGACCACGCAGAGGAUGAUGUGAAGAAGACAAUGGAUGUCUUUGCGGAGAUUGGUGCGAAAGAUCCGCACUUCACCUAUAGGGUGCAAGCUGACAGUGACGGGAGAAUUAGGAAUUUGAUGUGGGCAAGUGGGAACAGUAGGCUGCAGUACUCUUUCUUCGGGGAUGUCAUAACAUUUGACACAACUUACAGGACAAACUUGUAUGACAUGCCUUUUGGAUUGUUUGUUGGUGUGAACAACCACUUCCAGAGUGUCAUUAUGGCGGGUGUGCUUGUCCGUGAUGAGACUGAGGAUAGCUUUGUAUGGGUUUUUUCUGAGUUCCUUCGUAUGAUGGGUGGCUCAGCACCAGUAACUAUACUCACAGACCAGAACUGUGCAAUGGAGCUUGCUAUCAGCAAGGUUAUGCCGAAUACAGCACACAGGUGGUGUAAAUGGCAUGUGUUGAAGAAAGCAAAAGAGUCACUUGGGCCGCUGUACACGAAGAAAAGUGAAUUCAGGGCUGAAUUUUACAAAGUGAUAAACCACAUGCUGACUGAAGAUGAAUUUGAGAAAGGUUGGGAGGUGCUGCUGGAUAAAUACAAGCUAAGAGGUCAUGAUUAUAUGACGCAGUUGUUUGAAAUUCGUAAGAAAUGGGUGAAGCCUUACUUCAAGGGGGUAUUUUGUGCGAAAAUGACGAGCACACAGCGGAGUGAGAGCGCAAACCACGUGCUCAAAAAUUAUGUGCCUCCUGGAUGCCCAAUGCACAUGUUUGUCCAGAAAUACAUGAGAUUUCAGUUCGAUCGCGAAUCAGAGAAGAAUUAUGAGGAGAAACGCACUCGUAUCGGGAAGCCGUUGAUGAGGGCAAAUCUUGCAGUGGAGAGGCAUGCAAGCAAAAUAUACACACGAGCAAUGUUUGAACAAUUUGGGGAGAUUUUGUAUGAGUGUGGAGCUUAUCAGGUGGAGGAGAUUGAGAAACACAAGACAUACCUAGCAAUACAUAGCGAAGCAGAGAAAAGGGAAAAGUGGUGUAGAGUAUCUUACAAGGUGACUAUGAUUGACGGUGGAGAUGAGUUCGAGUGCGAGUGUGGGCAGUUUGCACAUAUGGGGCUGCUUUGCAGCCAUGUUCUGAAGGUGCUAGACUUUAUUCGAGCAAAGGAAAUUCCGGCGAAGCAUAUAGUGAAGAGGUGGACAAAGGAUGCCAGAGAUGUUCUGCCUGCUCAUCUAGCUCAGUACCAAAAAGACAGUAUGCAAAACAAUCCCUUCUCAUACAGGCACUUCACCAUGUAUAUGCAUGCAAUGGAAUUAGUUAGGCUUGGAGACACCAGUGUUGACGCGUAUAACCAUUUGAUGGACCUGUUCAAGUCAAAUUUGACAAUUAUGCUCCCAUUCGCAGAGAUUAGAGAUGGUCUAGGACUAGAGGAUAGAAUAGCAGAUAAGGGCACAGUUGUGAAUGAGCGGAGCCGUCCUGCUGUAGUUGUUGAACAGACAGACAAUGUGGUGGGUUUUGCUGCAAACCUUCCGGAAAAUGAUUCCAUGUCAAGGACAAGCAACCGGUUGGAUGGACUGCUGGCUCCGGCAAAAAGGAAAGAGAUGGGGCGACCAACUACCAGCAGGGAGAAGGCUCCAUAUGAAGGUCUAAGCAAACGGACCAGAUUUUGCACGAUUUGUCGUAGACAAGGUCACAAGCGAACAACAUGCCCUGACCGUGGUGAUUUACCAAAGCAACCAAGGAAGCCUGCUAGGUGCAAGAACUGUGGUGUGGAAGGACACCGGCGGAACAAUUGCAAUAAAGCAAUGGAACUAAGACUCGCUGUAGGUAUGGAGGCCAAGUGUCAUCACGCAUGGCCCAGGUAA
rnacentral:rRNA from 1 species